rnacentral:tRNA from 1 species
GGCGACGUGGCCGAGAGGCUAGGCAGCGGCCUGCAAAGCCGUCUACACCAGUUCGAUUCUGGUCGUCGCCU